rnacentral:rRNA from 1 species
UACGAAGGGUGCAAGCGUUACUCGGAAUUACUGGGCGUAAAGCGUGCGUUAGGUGGUUUGUUAAGUCUGAUGUGAAAGCCCUGGGCUCAACCUGGGAAUUGCAUUGGAUACUGGCGGGCUAGAGUGCGGUAGAGGAGAGUGGAAUUCCCGGUGUAGCAGUGAAAUGCGUAGAGAUCGGGAGGAACAUCAGUUGCGAAGGCGGCUCUCUGGACCAGCACUGACACUGAGGCACGAAAGCGUGGGGAGCAAACAGG